rnacentral:misc_RNA from 1 species
CACCAAUCAAGCCCCGCUUGGUAUUAGGCGAUCCGGCCGGCCCCCCGUGGCCGGCCCGCCCGAAAUGCAUCGGCGAGGCACCGACCCCCGGCGUGUUAGAAUUUCUUUUAACGUCGAGAGCACCGGUGUACCUCCGCCGUGAAACCUUUUUUAUUUUUCUAA